GCCUGUUGAGAAUUCUCUUAUUAGUUUAGUGUGCUUCUGGUGUUACACGAGACGACUGACUGGGCAAUAGCACAGUAUCAAGUAAUAUCGAGUACAGGUAUUCACCGGAAAUAUCGAAAGAGCUAGUCAAAUGAAGCAAUUGUAAAGUACGGAUGUUUUUUUCGACGCCAUCAACAGUAAAUCUGUAGUCGGCACUUGAACCGUCCCGUUUUAUCCCCGUUCCGUAUUCAUUAUAAGUGAAGAGAAGGAAGGAAUGAAAAAGCGGAACGGAAUCUACUUAUAAAAACCUGUUCGAAGAAAGCCUGUGUGCCUGAUUGAUAGGGUAAGAAUACAUCAGAUAAUUAUUCUGAUAAAGAUUGUCACCGGAACUCACGUUUUUUUGCGCUAGUUGAAGUGUGUGUGUCAUGCACUUCCGGUUGCUGCAUACCGCAGCACAUGGACCAGCUUGUACAUAAUAAGCACACACACACAUUUCCAUUCGUUCGGCAGUAUUACUACAGAUUAAAUCACGACGGCGGUUUUAUCAAGGUAGUGCUUGAGCAGUACUGAUACCGUAUUACUGGUAUUCGGUCCAUUUAUCGGCAACCAUUUCGCAAUUAAAAUGGCCAACAGAACACUGUUCCUCUGCCUGAUCGGAGGCUGUCUCCUGGCGAUGCUUAUGCCAACAGACGCGGUACGGCCGGUGUCCUGCGUGGAAGUUACCCAGACCGGGAAAGGCGACCGGUGCAGCGACGUGGCCCGGGCCAACGGCAUCUCCGUGUCGGAGCUGGUGCAGAUCAACCCGCAGAUCGCGGGCUGCGCGGCCGACCGCCUGCUGAGCCCGGCAACCUGUGUGUGUCUGCGCGACUGUCCCCAGUGUGCCAUGCCUGUCUACAACAUGCGGACGUGCCAACCCCUUUCCGGAUAAACGGCAUCACUGCGGAUACUGAAUGUUGUCUAAGCGGGCCACCAUGUUCUGAACAAUAUAUUCUGACCAGCAUACUAGGUAUAAGGGCACCAUUACCGGAAGCUGGGUCGGCUGUUUCUAGACCUGACUUUAGUUUUGUUUGCUUCUUACGUAACGUGUCGACAUUAUACAAAAAUUAAAUAGACCUGGUACCUCUCGAUUCCAGUGGAGUGAGUGGCGCGUCGUAGUAUGGAGCUUAGUGUAACACUUAAAAUUGUACAUAUAUUUUGCUGUAUUGAUUCGUCAGAAAUUACCGGACAAGUUUGUACAGUAGAAAUCUGUACGUGUGUACAGUUUCCUCGAACAAGUCGAAAAAACGUAAAUCCUGCAAGCCGAUUCGCAAAAGGCCUGGUUGAUCUUCUCGAUACGGUAAGGUCAUUGUGAUACCGAUCGUGAUAUUACUAAGAACGUACGUCUUGUCCCGCUGGUUAACGGUGUGUCAUGCGCACUUCUGGUUGUUUGCUGCAUACCAUCGGCAUAAAAUACAAGUACUUAAAUAAACAAACACUCCAUUCGUUCAGCAGACAAUCUGAUCCGCGGUAUUACUGCACUAAUAAUCGUCAUAAUUUGGCCAUAGCACGGCAGGCAAAAUGGUCAACAGAACACUGCUCUUCUGCUUGAUCGGAGGCUGUCUCCUGGUGAUGUUUUUCCCAACAGACGCGGUACGACCGGUGUACUGCGUGAGGGUCACCCGCACCGGCAAAGGCGACCGCUGCAGCGACGUGGCCCGGGCCAACGGCCUCUCCGUGUCGAAGCUGGUGCAGAUCAACCCGCAGAUCCCCGACUGCGCGGCCGACCGCCUGCUGAGUCCGGCUACCUGUGUGUGUCUGCGCGACUGUAUGCAGUGUGCCAUGCCUGUCCACGACGUGCGCACCUGCCGGCCCCUUUCCAGAUAAACUCCAUCGUCUCUAUUAGCGGGUGUUGCGCCGGGUUUUCGGCCAGAUAACACUGACCGCGUUGUGUGUUAUCGGAGUGUUUACCCAACUACUUACCUGUUUUGUGCUUUAAGAAAUGUGUUUGCUGCUUUUGUUAAAUGCUGCAUUUAACCAAGUAUACGCAACUACUGUCGCCAAUAGAUGACAUCAUGACAGCAUGAUGCUUAACAAAUAGAAGCCCACAGCCAAAAUAAAAUAAAAAGUAAAUUUGAGGAAGGGA